rnacentral:rRNA from 1 species
CCUACGGGAGGCAGCAGUGAGGAAUAUUGGUCAAUGGCCGGAAGGCUGAACCAGCCAAGCCGCGUGAAGGACGAAGGUGCCAAGCAUUGUAAACUUCUUUUGUCAAGGGACAACAUCAGGCUCGAGAGCCUGACCGAGGGUACUUGAAGAAAAAGAAUCGGCAAACUCCGUGCCAGAAGCCGCGGUACUACGAGGGAUGCGAGGGUUAUCCGGAUUUAUUGGGUUAAAGGGGUGCGUAGGGGGGCUGUAAAGGCAGCGUGAAAAGCCCGGGGCUCAACCCCGGCGAGCCGUUGAAACUGGGUGUCUUGAGAUGUCGAGAGGGAUGCGGAAUGCGCAGUGUAGCGGUGAAAUGCGUAGAUAUUGCGCAGAACUCCGGUUGCGAAGGCAGCAUGCCGGCGGCGAUCUGACGCUGAGGCACGAAAGCGUGGGUAGCGAACAGGAUUAGAUACCCUUGUAGUC